rnacentral:rRNA from 1 species
GAGUUUGAUCUUGGCUCAGGAUGAACGCUAGCGGCAGGCCUAAUACAUGCAAGUCGAACGGGACUUGGUAGCAAUACCAAGUUCAGUGGCGCACGGGUGCGUAACGCGUAUGCAACCUACCUUUAACUGGGGGAUAGCCUUCCGAAAGGGAGAUUAAUACCGCAUAAUAUCACUUGAUGGCAUCUGAAGGUGAUUAAAGAUUUAUUGGUUAAAGAUGGGCAUGCGUGCCAUUAGCUAGUUGGUAGUGUAACGGACUACCAAGGCGACGAUGGCUAGGGGUUCUGAGAGGAUGAUCCCCCACACUGGUACUGAGAUACGGACCAGACUCCUACGGGAGCAGCAGUA